rnacentral:rRNA from 1 species
CCACGUGAUCCGUGUCGCAGCUAACGCAUUAAGCGCCCCGCCUGGGGAGUACGCCCGCAAGGCUAAAACUCAAAGGAAUUGACGGGGGCCCGCACAAGCGGCGGAGCAUCCGGAUCAAUUCGAUGCAACGCGAAGAACCUUACCAAGGCUUGACAUAUACAGGAAAACUGCAGAAAUGUAGUCCCCCGCAAGGGUCUGUAUACAGGUGGUGCAUGGUUGUCGUCAGCUCGUGUCGUGAGAUGUUGGGUUAAGUCCCGCAACGAGCGCAACCCUCGUCCUAUGUUGCCAGCACGUUAUGGUGGAAACUCAUGGGAGACUCCCGGGGUCAACUCGGAGGAAGGUGGGGAUGACGUCAAAUCAUCAUGCCCCUUAUGUCUUGGGCUUCACGCAUGCUACAAUGGCCGGUACAAAGGGCUGCAAUACCGCAAGGUGGAGCGAAUCCCAAAAAGCCGGUCUCAGUUCGGAUUGAGGUCUGCAACUCGACCUCAUGAAGUCGGAGUCGCUAGUAAUCGCAGAUCAGCAACGCUGCGGUGAAUACGUUCCCGGGCAUUGUACACACCGCCCGUCAAGUCACGAAAGUCG